CCGUUGCCGGCGACCGGCGCACGGGUGAGUAACACGUAUGCAGCCUGCCCGUGGCAGGGGGAUAAGCGGGGGAAACCCCGUCUAAUACCGCGUAACGCGGCCUUGGGGCAUCCCAAGGCCGCCAAAGGGAGCAAUCCCGGCCACGGAUGGGCAUGCGGCGCAUUAGCUAGUCGGCGGGGUAACGGCCCACCGAGGCGACGAUGCGUAGGGGUUCUGAGAGGAAGGCCCCCCACACUGGUACUGAGACACGGACCAGACUCCUACGGGAGGCAGCAG
rnacentral:rRNA from 1 species